rnacentral:rRNA from 1 species
AUUGAACGCUGGCGGCAUGCCUUACACAUGCAAGUCGAACGGCAGCACGGGAGCAAUCCUGGUGGCGAGUGGCGAACGGGUGAGUAAUACAUCGGAACGUGCCCAGUAGUGGGGAUAACCCGGCGAAGCCGGACUAAUACCGCAUACGACCUACGGGUGAAAGCAGGGGAGUCGCAAGACCUUGCGCUAUCGGAGCGGCCGAUGUCAGAUUAGCUAGUUGGUGGGGAAAGGCCUACCAAGGCGACGAUCUGUAGCUGGUCUGAGAGGACGACCAGCCACACUGGGACUGAGACACGGCCCAGACUCCUACGGGAGGCAGCAGUGGGGAAUUUUGGACAAUGGGCGCAAGCCUGAUCCAGCCAUGCCGCGUGCGGGAAGAAGGCCU